GACGAACGCUAGCGGCGUGCUUAACACAUGCAAGUCGAACGGAAAGGCCCUGCUUUUGUGGGGUGCUCGAGUGGCGAACGGGUGAGUAACACGUGAGUAACCUGCCCUUGACUUUGGGAUAACUUCAGGAAACUGGGGCUAAUACCGGAUAGGAGCUCCUGCUGCAUGGUGGGGGUUGGAAAGUUUCGGCGGUUGGGGAUGGACUCGCGGCUUAUCAGCUUGUUGGUGGGGUAGUGGCUUACCAAGGCUUUGACGGGUAGCCGGCCUGAGAGGGUGACCGGCCACAUUGGGACUGAGAUACGGCCCAGACUCCUACGGGAGGCAGCAGUGGGGAAUAUUGCACAAUGGGCGGAAGCCUGAUGCAGCAACGCCGCGUGCGGGAUGACGGCCUUCGGGCUGUAAACCGCUUUCGCCUGUGACGAAGCGUGAGUGACGGUAAUGGGUAAAGAAGCACCGGCUAACUACGUG
rnacentral:rRNA from 1 species